UGUUGGAAGUGCUCCGUGUUACGUGUUA
rnacentral:piRNA from 1 species